rnacentral:tRNA from 1 species
UUAGCUCAGUUGGGUAGAGCAUAAGACUCUCAGUCUUGGGGUUGUGAGUUCAAGCCCCACA